UACGAAGGGUGCAAGCGUUACUCGGAAUUACUGGGCGUAAAGCGUGCGUAGGUGGUUUGUUAAGUCUGUUGUGAAAGCCCCGGGCUCAACCUGGGAAUGGCAUUGGAAACUGGCUUGCUGGAGUGUGGCAGAGGGGGGUAGAAUUCCACGUGUAGCAGUGAAAUGCGUAGAGAUGUGGAGGAAUACCGAUGGCGAAGGCAGCCCCCUGGGCCAAUACUGACGCUCAUGCACGAAAGCGUGGGGAGCAAACAGG
rnacentral:rRNA from 1 species